AUGCCUGAGAGUGAGUUCCACCUGCGCAUGCGCUUGCUGCUCGAGCUGACGCAGGUGGGAACCGUGGCUGAGUACACGACGUUGUUCUGGGAGCGUCUACACCAUGUGUUGCAUCUUGACUCCAGUCUAAGCAUCAAGAGCUUUGUCCACCCAUACAUCGAUGGCUUGCGCAAGGAUAUUCAGGUAGUUGUGCACUCCCAAUCGCCAUCUAGCAUCACCAGAGCGUCCUGCCUUGCUAGAAUUAGGGAGGAAGAGAUCAUGAAGGAUGAGGCCAUGGCUGUCGAGGAGCAUGGCAAUGGCUACGACCAUGGAGUUCAUGGUCUCAUGCCUACUGAGACCCUCUGCAUCGUCUCCACCAAGCUCGAGGUCCUAGUGUUGUGCAGUGCAGAUCGCGGCGUCGACGCCAGCAGCCUUGCUGCUCCAACACCGAUCAUGUGCUCAACGGAUUACCCAAGUCGUGGCGCCACCAUCGACAUCUCCCCUGAUCUUGCAACCUCUGCUAUGUGUGGCGAAGCUCUCGACACCAAUACCUUUAGUGUCGCCACACCAACCCCGUGGUGGCGACCGAUUCCUUCCCUCAAGUUCGUCAUGACGACGCCCACCAGGUUUUUGUUGAAAGGCUUUGUGUUUACGGACGUGUUCAUGUCAGGUGUGACACCAGGUUUGAAGCCACAAGGGACGGUGGUCCGGCCGGCACCAUGGCCCUCUUUCCUUGACAAGGACAGCAGUACAGCUCGUGGCGGCAUCAUCGAGCCACCACCGAGCGCCGCCACGGUGUUAAUCAGGGAGGUGGCUCCCUGUGUGAAUUGGCAAGGAAUGAUGACAGAGGAUAUUUACAGUGCAAAGGUGUGCCGCGGGAAGCUCUCUUUCUGGCCUCGACUGCACUCACAUAAAACAACCCCUCAAUCUCUUAGGCAAGCAGGAGACAUCAACCGCAGCAAGUCAAGCCUUGGGAACAUCGACUGGUAUUGGUGGCUUAUUUUCAAUGAGUCCUUGGAAGUAAUGUAUGCUCUAGCAGAAUCAGAGGUGCGGCACUUAAGGCGUAAUCCCUCCAACUCUCCUUGGUGUUUGGUGGACGUGUUCUGGAGGUUCCAGAACUACUGGUCUGAUCCUCAAAAUGUACGGUUAGCUGAUGUGAGUUUUGAAGCUCUAUUUUCUGCUGGACAACACAACACUGGACUCCCUUUGCAAGUCUUGGGUGUUGGUUCAAUUCUGAACAUAUUGUUCAGUGAAGCUGCACCUAGUUCACUAAUGACAGAGUGCCAGGUGGAUGGAUGUCUAUGGAGAGCACAAUAUGUACCUUGUUGUAUCUUGGGGAAAUCCAUCGAAGAGAAGCAUUUGCAUAUUUGUGCAGCAGCUAAUCAGGCCCUAAUAUUAUGCAGAGCAGAAGUGGAACUCUUUAGCGAAGCCUAUCGCCCUUCAACUAUUUUUGCCCACAGCACAGUGUGGGAAAAGCCAACUUGCAGUAAAAUCAUUGCAUCUUCUGUGUUUACUUGGCGGUUCAGUGCUACAGAUGUUCUUUGCUAUAAGUCGAUGCAGUCUUCGUGUAAGGUAGACAGUGCCAUUGUUCAUAAUUCCUCAUGGAAAACCAGUGGUCGCUGUGAAGGCAUGCCUUUAUAUUGGUGGUCUCUUCAAAAUGAAUUUUCCACACUAUUUUCUGCAACUAAAGCGAGCGUGCUGCACCACAUUGAUUGGUGGUCUGAUUUUAAAUUUGUACAUCAAGCUCAUGCUAUUGGUCAUGCUACUUUGCAUUUGGGAUCUGCAAAACAGAUGGAUACUAGGAUCCCUGAAGCUCUUAGAACACUCUAUGUUCCAGUUACUAUGCAGCCUGAAGCUCUCAGGACACUCAAUGUUAUUCAGUUGGAUAAUGGAAUUUUAAGCAUUACAGUCCAAGGGCAGUUGAAGAAUCCCUUUAUUGUUCAUGCGCAUAAUCUUGGUAAACUGAAAAUGGAUGCUUACCCCUGCUGUAUUCUCGCGAGCUCUGUUCCAGAAUUAAACCAUGCUAGUGUCCAUGCCUUUGAUUCUAAGCCAGUUCUGCAAACAAAAUGUGCAACCAUAGUGUCUUGGGGGCUUACAGCUCAAGAGAUAUACUCUCUAUGUCACACGGCAAGACUCAGUUACAAGAUGUGGCACAUACAGCUUGAUGGAAAUAUAUCUUUUGGUGGUGAAGCUAAUGUUUAUCUUUCACUGGAGUGGCUCAAGCUACCGGUGGUGGAACUUCAGUUCUCCACUCCGGGUGGCUAUCUUUUUGGUUAUAAAUAUUUUCCUAUGGAUCUGGAGUUGCCUUUUGAUCCAGGAGACCAUAAGUUACAACAGGUUCUUCUUAAAAUUAGUGGUGUAUCCAUUGGAUAUAUACAUCUGCACGAGAAUAGAGGAGCUUUGCCAUAUCAUUUGCCCUGGUGGUGUACAACGCUAUAUUUCACGAUGGAAGUUAUGCAAGUUGACAGUGGGUGUUUUUAUCUGGUUGUAUGGCUCCUCGGCAUCAUUGGAGAGUUUGAUCUCACCACAUUAUGGUGUUUAUUGGAGGACAAAAUGUCAAGAAGGGUGACUACAACUGAUAAGAAAGUAAGCAAAGUGGUUGGUUAUUAUAUUCUUGCUGUUUUUGAUGUUCUGAGUGAUGGGACAAUAUUCCAAUCUCGGAAAGCAUUGUACAUGUUGCCUGAACCCAGCCCUAGGUGA
rnacentral:rRNA from 1 species